UUCAAGACAACAUGCGCAGCUUGGGAACCGCUGGCUGAAACUGCAAGUUGUUGUCUCUACCAAUUAGCCUUACCAAGCCGGGCUCCUUCUAUCUCGUGUUAGAGCUUGGUAACGACGGCCACACAAUGACAAGUAUGUGGUUGAUGGAGGAAGCACGGGGAGGAGCAAAAACAAAUGGUGAUGGAGGAGGAAAAACAAAUGGCGAUC